AACGAACGCUGGCGGCAGGCCUAACACAUGCAAGUCGAGCGAGCAUUUCGGUGCUAGCGGCGGACGGGUGAGUAACGCGUGGGAACGUGCCCUUUUCUGCGGAAUAGUCCUGGGAAACUGGGGGUAAUACCGCAUACGCCCUUUUGGGGAAAGAUUUAUCGGAGAAGGAUCGGCCCGCGUUGGAUUAGGUAGUUGGUGGGGUAAUGGCCCACCAAGCCGACGAUCCAUAGCUGGUUUGAGAGGAUGAUCAGCCACACUGGGACUGAGACACGGCCCAGACUCCGACGGGAGGCAGCAGUGGGGAAUCUUAGACAAUGGGGGCAACCCUGAUCUAGCCAUGCCGCGUGAGUGAUGAAGGCCUUAGGGUUGUAAAGCUCUUUCAGCUGGGAAGAUAAUGACGGUACCAGCAGAAGAAGCCCCGGCUAACUCCGUG
rnacentral:rRNA from 1 species